UAUAUGCUGAUAAAUUUAAGCAGACUCUUCAAAGUACUGGGUCCUUGCUGCCAGAUUUUCCUGAAGGAGAUGCAAAAGCUUUGGUUGCAUAUUUGACUGUUCUUCGAAAGGUUGUGGAAAAUGGGAAUCCUAUUGACAGGAAAAACUGGUUUCUUGAUAUUGAGCCGUUAUUCAAGCUCCUUAGUUAUGAAAAUGUGCCUCCUUUUCUCAAGGGUGCUUUAAGAGAUGCCAUUGCAGUUUUUAUCCAAGUUAGUCCAUUGAUGAAAGGCAUUAUUUGGGC